GGACGGGGACCCGCACAAGCGGUGGAUGAUGUGGAUUAAUUCGAUGCAACGACGAAAACCUUUACCUACCCUUGACAUGCCAGGAACUUGCCAGAGAUGGCUUGGUGCUACGAAAGAGAACCUGGACACAGGUGCUGCAUGGCUGUCGUCAGCUCGUGUCGUGAGAUGUUGGGUUAAGUCCCGCAACGAGCGCAACCCUUGUCAUUAGUUGCCACCAUUCAGUUGGGCACUCUAAUGAGACUGCCGGUGACAAACCGGAGGAAGGUGGGGAUGACGUCAAGUCCUCAUGGCCCUUAUGGGUAGGGCUUCACACGUCAUACAAUGGUCGGUACAGAGGGUUGCCAACCCGCGAGGGGGAGCCAAUCCCACAAAGCCGAUCGUAGUCCGGAUUGGAGUCUGCAACUCGACUGCAUGAAGUCGGAAUCGCUAGUAAUCGCGGAUCAGCAUGUCGCGGUGAAUACGUUCCCGGGUCUU
rnacentral:rRNA from 1 species